CGUGUAGGCGGCUUGUUAAGUCAGAUGUGAAAGCCCACGGCUUAACCGUGGAACUGCAUUUGAAACUGACAGACUUGAGUAUGAGAAGGGGUAGUGGAAUUCCCAGUGUAGCGGUGAAAUGCGUAGAUAUUGGGAAGAACACCAGUAGCGAAGGCGGCUACCUGGCUCAUAACUGACGCUAAUGCGCGAAAGCGCGGGGAGCAAACA
rnacentral:rRNA from 1 species